UCCGGCGUGGCGCAAUGGUAGCGCAACUGACUGUUAAUCAGUGUGUUGUAGGUUCGAGUCCUACCGCCGGAG
rnacentral:tRNA from 1 species